AUGUGUUGUCCUGUGCUAGAUGUUGCUUUUGAAUCAUACCAAAUUGGACAGCAUCCUACCCGAGCAGUACCCGUAGCAAAUACCGAUGACUUCAUAUACCGAAACCUACCUACAAGGCACCAUGUCCUAAGAAAGGUUGCGGACUGUCGCCACUGUGGGGCGUUGCGGUUUCCAUUCGAGGGGCCAGCAUUUUGUUGCAGAAAAGGAAAAGUCGAUUUGUUUACUCCAGAUGUUCUAGAAGAGUUGAAACGGUUGUUUACAAGUCAAGAUGAUGAGGACGCUAAGUACUUCAGAGAACAUAUACGGUAUUUCAACUCGCACUUCUCAUUCACAAGUUUAGGCGUCACCCUUGAUCGUCGAGUAAGCACUGCGGCAGGAACUGGCAUAUAUACAUUCCGUGCAUGUGGUGGGCUGUACCACGCUCUUGACAAUCUGGUGCCGGCUGAUAAUGGCCCUCGGCAUUUGCAACUCUAUAUUUAUGAUACAGAUCAAAACUUGGUACACAGGGCUAAUAGGUCUCCAGAUCUUAAUAUAGACCUCAUACGGAAGAUUCUGAGAAUACUACAGCAUAACCCUUAUGCACAAGUUUUGAAGAGCCUAGGGUCUGUUCCGAAUCUACAUGAGUAUAGAAUCUCACUAAACACGGAUAUCAAGUUAGAUCAGCGAAGGUACAAUGGCCCUACGACUUCCCAAGUGGCAGCGAUAUGGGUUGAAGGGAGUGACCCACAAAAUUGCUUUGACAGGAGUGUUGUUGUGCAUGGAAAAACAGGAAACCGGCCACUGUAUAUUAGAGCAUACUAUGGGUGCUACGACCCAUUGUCAUAUCCACUGUUUUUCCCACGUGGAGAGACUGGCUGGAAUCGUUGCAUGCCAUAUAUUCGGCCACAAGAUGACACGAACCAAAAUUCAAUACAUACUCCUGCAUUGCAAGGAAACCAAGCCUCUGUCGAACAUAUAGAUGACAAUGAGGAUAACCCAGAUGACGAAUUUGGUGACAAUGAGGUCAAUGCAAAACAAUCCAGAAAAUUUGUUAGUGCUAGGGAGUACUACUGCUUCAAGCUGCAAGUCAGGAGGAAGCUUUUUAACAUCAUCUUGUUCGGUCAUCGCCUUUUCCAACAGUGGGCUAUUGACAUGUAUAUCAAGAUUGAAACUAUGCGGCUUGAUUGGUACUCAAAGCCGGAAAAUCAAAAGGUUAUACGCGCUGACCUCUACCAGGGUCUUGUUGACACCGUCGUUGUCGGCGAGUCACGCGGAGAUCGAAUUGGCAAAAGAAUUGUGCUUCCACGUACAUUUCCUGGUGGUGAUCGCGACAUGCAACGGAGGUUCUUGGAUGCUAUGGCAAUAGUGCAGCGGUGGGGUAAACCGGAUUAUUUUAUCACGAUGACGUGCAACCCAUAUUGGGAGGAGAUAACCGAUAAGUUGUUGCCUGGACAACUGCCGCAGGACCGUCCAGACCUGGUGGCAAGAGUAUACAAGGCUAAACAGCGAGAUAUGAUGGACUUACUAACUAAGGGUAAGCAUUUCGGAGAAGUCGCGGCCUAUGUACAUGUAACUGAGUUCCAGAAGCGAGGUCUCCCGCAUGAGCAUAUACUUCUAAUCAUGAAAGCAAAAAGCAAGUUAUCGACACCGGAUGACUAUGAUCGAGUGAUAUGUGCAGAGAUACCGGACAAAGAGAAACACCCCGUUCUACAUGAACUGGUCGUCAAACACAUGCUGCAUGGACCAUGUGGCGAGUUGAAAAAAAGUUGCCCUUGCAUGAUUGAUGGUCAAUGUCGGUUUCAUUACCCGCGAGAUUUUUGUGAUGCCACACAACAAGGGAAAGACUCAUAUCCCAUCUAUAGGCGGAGGGACGAUGGGCGUCGAAUUAGGAUCAGAGGAGCAGAUUUGGACAAUAGGUGGGUGGUCCCUUACAACCCUUCACUACUUAUGCGAUACAACUGCCACAUUAAUGUGGAAGCAUGCUCGAGCAUCAAGGCAGUCAAGUACUUAUUCAAGUACAUCUACAAAGGUCAUGAUCGUACAUCCUUUGCAUUCGAGCAGGAUAUCAUCAAUGAUGGUGGAAUCAUCAAUGAAAUCCGACAAUAUAGGGAUGCACGAUACGUAUCUCCUCCAGAGGCUAUUUACAAGAUUUUUGGUUUUAAAAUGUUUGGUGUCAGUCCAUCUGUGCUACAACUCCAGCUUCAUUUGCCAAAUAUGCAUACAGUUGCAUUUAAAGCAUGUGAGAAUCUUGCAGAUGUUGUAGCUCGACCAUCUUCUUCAAAGUCCAUGCUUACAGAAUACUUUGAGAUGAACCGAAAGUUUCCAACUGCAUGA
rnacentral:rRNA from 1 species